rnacentral:rRNA from 1 species
AAUAGAUACCCUGGUAGUCCACGCCGUAAACGUUGGGUACUAGGUGUGGCGUCCCGAUCAACGGAUGCCGUGCCGAAGCUAACGCAUUAAGUACCCCGCCUGGGGAGUACGGCCGCAAGGCUAAAACUCAAAGGAAUUGACGGGUCCCCGCACAAGCGGCGGAGCAUGCGGCUUAAUUCGAUGCAACCCGAAGAACCUUACCUGGACUUGACAUCAUGGGAAAAGCCGUAGAAAUACGGUGUCCGUAAGGGUCCAUGACAGGUGGUGCAUGGCUGUCGUCAGCUCGUGUCGUGAGAUGUUGGGUUAAGUCCCGCAACGAGCGCAACCCUUGUCCUAUGUUGCCAGCGCGUUAUGGCGGGGACUCAUAGGAGACUGCCGGGGACAACUCGGAGGAAGGUGAGGACGACGUCAAGUCAUCAUGCCCCUUAUGUCCAGGGCUGCACGCAUGCUACAAUGGCCGGUACAACAGGCAGCGAACUCGCGAGGGUGAGCGAAUCCUCAAAGCCGGCUCAGUUCGGA